rnacentral:rRNA from 1 species
UACGUAGGGUGCAAGCGUUAAUCGGAAUUACUGGGCGUAAAGCGUGCGCAGGCGGUUUGUUAAGUCCGCUGUGAAAUCCCCGAGCUCAACUUGGGAAUUGCAGUGGAUACUGGCAAGCUGGAGUAUGGUAGAGGAAGGUGGAAUUCCCGGUGUAGCAGUGAAAUGCGUAGAGAUCGGGAGGAACACCAGUGGCGAAGGCGGCCUUCUGGACCAAUACUGACGCUCAUGCACGAAAGCGUGGGGAGCAAACAGG